AGAAUCUGGCUCUAGGUCUGGGACAACAGUUGGAAACGACUGCUAAUACCGGAUGUGCCGAGAGGUGAAAGGCUUGCUGCCUAGAGAUGAGCUCGCGUCUGAUUAGCUAGUUGGUGUGGUAAGAGCGCACCAAGGCGACGAUCAGUAGCUGGUCUGAGAGGAUGAUCAGCCACACUGGGACUGAGACACGGCCCAGACUCCUACGGGAGGCAGCAGUGGGGAAUUUUCCGCAAUGGGCGAAAGCCUGACGGAGCAAUACCGCGUGAGGGAGGAAGGCUCUUGGGUUGUAAACCUCUUUUCUCAAGGAAUAAGAAAGUGAAGGUACUUGAGGAAUAAGCAUCGGCUAACUCCGUGCCAGCAGCCGCGGUAAUACGGAGGAUGCAAGCGUUAUCCGGAAUGAUUGGGCGUAAAGCGUCCGCAGGUGGCCCUGUAAGUCUGCUGUUAAAGAGUGAGGCUUAACCUCAUAAAAGCAGUGGAAACUACAGAGCUAGAGUGCGUUCGGGGCAGAAGGAAUUCCUGGUGUAGCGGUGAAAUGCGUAGAGAUCAGGAAGAACACCGGUGGCGAAGGCGUUCUGCUAGGCCGCAACUGACACUGAGGGACGAAAGCUAGGGGAGCG
rnacentral:rRNA from 1 species